rnacentral:misc_RNA from 1 species
GAGAAUCUUGCUUUGGGUUUUUCUGAUGGUAAUGAGAAUGAUCGUCAUUGUGGGCAAGGGUCAAGGCAAAAUUGUUUACUGCUUCCACCAGUAAAUUAUAGGAUUCCUCUUCGGUGGCCUACUGGAAAGGAUGUCAUCUGGGUUUCCAAUGUUAAAAUUACUGCACAGGAGGUACUUUCCUCUGGUAGUCUGACCAAGAGGAUGAUGAUGUUGGACGAAGAGCAGAUUUCCUUUCGUUCAUCCUCUAUGUUUGAUGGUGUUGAAGACUACGCACAUCAAAUUGCUGAAAUGAUUGGACUGAGAAAUGAAUCUAACUUCAUACAAGCUGGGGUAAGAACCAUUUUGGACAUAGGAUGCGGUUAUGGUAGNUGGAGCACAUCUAUUUCCAAAACAACUUUUAACUAUGUGCAUUGCAAACUAUGAAGCUUCAGGCAGUCAAGUUCAACUUACUCUUGAAAGAGGUCUUCCUGCAAUGAUUUUUUCUUUUUCUUCAAAGCAGCUGCCAUAUCCUUCUCUUUCCUUUGAUAUGUUGCACUGUGCACGAUGUGGCAUUGGUUGGGACCAAAAAGAUGGUAUUUUCUUGAUUGAAGUUGAUAGAGUUUUAAAGCCUGGUGGAUAUUUUGUCUGGACUUCACCUCUUACAAACGCUCGUAAUAAAGAGAAUCUGAAAAGGUGGAACUUUGUUCGAGAUUUUGCAGAAAAUAUCUGUUGGGAGAUGUUGUCUCAACAAGAUGAAACUGUCAUAUGGAAAAAGACUACUAAAAGGAAUUGCUAUGGUUCCAGGAAGCCUGGUUCAGGUCCUUCCAUCUGCAGUAGAGGCCAUGACGUUGAAUCUCCUUACUAUCGACCACUCCAAGCAUGCAUAGCAGGAACACAGAGUCGGCGAUGGAUUCCUAUAGAGGAGAGGAGAACCUGGCCUUCUAGGUCGCAAUUGAGCAAGAGCGAGCUUGCAAUACAUGGUUUGCAUUCAGAAGAAUUAGCGGAGGAAUCGGAAAACUGGAGAACAGCAGUCCAUAACUAUUGGUCACUUCUGUC